UAGUGAACCAGUACCGUGAGGGAAAGGCGAAAAGAACCCCGGCGAGGGGAGUGAAAAAGAACCUGAAACCGUGUACGUACAAGCAGUGGGAGCACGCUUAGGCGUGUGACUGCGUACCUUUUGUAUAAUGGGUCAGCGACUUAUAUUCUGUAGCAAGGUUAACCGAAUAGGGGAGCCGAAGGGAAACCGAGUCUUAACUGGGCGUUAAGUUGCAGGGUAUAGACCCGAAACCCGGUGAUCUAGCCAUGGGCAGGUUGAAGGUUGGGUAACACUAACUGGAGGACCGAACCGACUAAUGUUGAAAAAUUAGCGGAUGACUUGUGGCUGGGGGUGAAAGGCCAAUCAAACCGGGAGAUAGCUGGUUCUCCCCGAAAGCUAUUUAGGUAGCGCCUCGUGAAUUCAUCUCCGGGGGUAGAGCACUGUUUCGGCAAGGGGGUCAUCCCGACUUACCAACCCGAUGCAAACUGCGAAUACCGGAGAAUGUUAUCACGGGAGACACACGGCGGGUGCUAACGUCCGUCGUGAAGAGGGAAACAACCCAGACCGCCAGCUAAGGUCCCAAAGUCAUGGUUAAGUGGGAAACGAUGUGGGAAGGCCCAGACAGCCAGGAUGUUGGCUUAGAAGCAGCCAUCAUUUAAAGAAAGCGUAAUAGCUCACUGGUCGAGUCGGCCUGCGCGGAAGAUGUAACGGGGCUAAACCAUGCACCGAAGCUGCGGCAGCGACGCUUAUGCGUUGUUGGGUAGGGGAGCGUUCUGUAAGCCUGCGAAGGUGUGCUGUGAGGCAUGCUGGAGGUAUCAGAAGUGCGAAUGCUGACAUAA
rnacentral:rRNA from 1 species